UACGAAGGGGGCUAGCGUUGCUCGGAAUCACUGGGCGUAAAGCGCACGUAGGCGGCUUUCUAAGUCAGGGGUGAAAUCCUGGAGCUCAACUCCAGAACUGCCUUUGAUACUGGAGAGCUUGAGUCCGGAAGAGGUGAGUGGAACUCCGAGUGUAGAGGUGAAAUUCGUAGAUAUUCGGAAGAACACCAGUGGCGAAGGCGGCUCACUGGUCCGGUACUGACGCUGAGGUGCGAAAGCGUGGGGAGCAAACAGGG
rnacentral:rRNA from 1 species